CGUGGGAUUCGUCCCCCACCGACCCUACCAGGGCAUGCGUCCCGAGCAAUCGGAAGGUGUGAAGCCCCUGGGACAAAGCGGAAAGACGCAGGAUUCGAUGUAUCGAACCGCCAGGGUGAAUCGGGCAUGGUGAAUGUAACGUGAACUGUUGUAAGG
rfam:Methanogenic archaeon ISO4-H5 chromosome, complete genome.